rnacentral:rRNA from 1 species
GAUGAACGCUGGCGGCGUGCUUAACACAUGCAAGUCGAACGAUGAUCCCCGCUUGCGGGGGAUUAGUGGCGAACGGGUGAGUAACACGUGAGUAACCUGCCCUUAACUCUGGGAUAAGCCUGGGAAACCGGGUCUAAUACCGGAUAUGACCUCCUGCCGCAUGGGUGGGGGUGGAAAGGCUUUUGUGGUUUUGGAUGGACUCGCGGCCUAUCAGCUUGUUGGUGAGGUAAUGGCCACCAAGGCGACGACGGGUAGCCGGCUGAGAGGGUGACCGGCCACACUGGGACU